GAUGAACGCUGGCGGCGUGCCUAAUACAUGCAAGUAGAACGCUGAAGGAAGGAGCUUGCUCUUUCCGGAUGAGUUGCGAACGGGUGAGUAACGCGUAGGUAACCUGCCUGGUAGCGGGGGAUAACUAUUGGAAACGAUAGCUAAUACCGCAUAACAGUAGAUGUUGCAUGAUAUCUACUUAAAAGGUGCAAUUGCACCACUACCAGAUGGACCUGCGUUGUAUUAGCUAGUUGGUGAGGUAACGGCUCACCAAGGCGACGAUACAUAGCCGACCUGAGAGGGUGAACGGCCACACUGGGACUGAGACACGGCCCAGACUCCUACGGGAGGCAGCAGUAGGGAAUCUUCGGCAAUGGACGGAAGUCUGACCGAGCAACGCCGCGUGAGGGAAGGAGGGUGUCGGAUCGUAAAGCUCUGUUGUAAGAGAAGAACGAGUGUGAGAGUGGAAAGUUCACACUGUGACGGUAUCUAACCAGAAAGGAACGGCUAACUACGUG
rnacentral:rRNA from 1 species